UACAGAGGUCUCAAGCGUUGUUCGGAUUCAUUGGGCGUAAAGGGCGCGUAGGUGGCGACCCAAGUCGAUGGUGAAAGCUCGCCGCUCAACGGCGAGUCGGCCACUGAUACUGGGUUGCUCGAGCACUGUAGAGGCAGAUGGAAUUCCGGGUGUAGCGGUGGAAUGCGUAGAGAUCCGGAAGAACACCGGUGGCGAAGGCGGUCUGCUGGGCAGUUGCUGACACUGAGGCGCGACAGCGUGGGGAGCAAACAGG
rnacentral:rRNA from 1 species